CAAGAAUUUAAAAAGAUAAAGCGUUAAUAGGCCAGACAUGGACCCAAUAAAGGAGCUGGAAAAGAUGGUCGAAACGCUGCCGCAAGUGAUGCAGCAUAGCGGCGCCCCUCAACGAAUCUGCUAUGACGAACUGCGAGCACGUCGGACUCUGACCGGCAAGCAGGACAGAUACGGC